rnacentral:lncRNA from 1 species
AACCGAUACAAGAACUGAAACAGAAUUGAGUUUUAUCUCAAGAACAACUAAACGAUAUUGAUUUGCUUGCAGAAAUUAAUAAAUAAACAAAAUGAUUCAAUUUACUAUUGUGUGAAAAAAUUACACAUUUCAAUUGACUAACAUCAAAUCUAAUCUAUGCAGGACAGAAACAUGAUAAAAUGGAAUACGUUGACAGCAGCUUGAAGAUCAAGAAAAUUGCAAACGAUAUACCUGAGACGAUUGAAAGAAUAGAAAGAAAGUUACACAAUUGAAUUUGGAGAAAUGAGCAAGCACCGAGAAGGAAAUCAAGAAGAAAUUCUUACUGGAGAAUUAGAAGAGAAGAAGAAAAAGUGAGUUCUGCCUCAACCGUUUCCCUUUCUUUUAUAGCUUUCUAUUUCCAGAUUGGGAAAUUUACAUGGGUAAUCAGGUACCGGAUCCUUCUUACAUGGGUAAUUUGGUGCCUUGAUAUUUAGGUAAUUUACAUCCUCCCUCAAAUUUGACGGCGAUUUAGUCGGCCAAUUUGUACUCACUGCAACCAUGGACGGUGCUUCCUUUGAUAUUGGAACCAUCUUAUGCCUCUUCCGGUGUCGAUAGAAUCCGUAAGUGUCAAGAACUUUCGUGAAUCCAUCAGCAAACUGGAGCUCUGUAGGUACAUGUUCUAUUCUUAACACUCCUCUAUUUAUUAAUUCACGCACAAAAUAGUAGCUUAUCUCAAUAUGUCUUGAACGUGCUGUGAUAGUUGGGUUUCUUGACAUAAAAAUUGUUGAGUGAUUGUCACAUAAUAGAAUAAGAGGAUUAUUCAAUUUAAUCUAUAAUUCUCUAAAUAAGUAGCAAAACCACCGUAAUUCUGAAGUAACAUGCGUCAUUGCCUUAAACUCAGCCUCAUUGCUUGAAUUUGACAUUGUUGGUUGUUUCUUGGCUGACCAAGAUAACAAAUUCCCUUUAUACCAGAUGCUUGAGCCAGUGAUUGAUCUUCUUUCAAUGGUUCCUCCCCAAUCAGCAUCUGUAUAUGCUAUUAGUUCAUUCACACUAUUUGUGCCUCUGGUUAUCCUUAACCCUAGUGUAUAUGUCCCCUUUAAGUACCUAAAAAUUCUCCUUACUGCAUUCAUAUGACCCUCUUUGGGUUUUUGCAAGAACUGAUAUACCUGAUUUAUCGGGAAUGAGAGAUCAGGUCUAGUUAAUGCUAGGUAUUGUAAGCUUCCGACCAUACUUCUGUAAAGUGUGAUAUCUUCAACAUCUUCACCCAUCUCAUGUUGUAAUUUAGGAAAUUGAACCAUUGGUGUUCUCACUGGGUUUGACUGAUCAUAACCAUAUUUUUUUAAUAUCUCAUUUGUGUAUCCUUCCUGAGAUAUAACCAUCUCUUCCCCUUGAUAUACGCAUUGGAUUCCUAAGAAAUAGCUUAGUAUCCCCAUGUCCCUGCAUCGAAAUGUUUCACAAGUUAUUUUAAUGAAUUCUGAAAUUUCAUUCUCAUCAUCUCCUGUUACUACUAUGUCAUCCACAUAGACUAAUACCAAGAUUUUCGUCUUUCCAGAUGUUCUAAAAAAUAGUGAAGCAUCUGCACUUGAGUUCUGAAAUUUAUUGCUUAUUAGAUGCUCUUGCAGUUUUAAGUACCAAGCCCUAGGAGCUUGCUUUAAUCCAUAUAGUGCUUUUUGAAGUAAACAUACAUGAUCUGGUCUGAAUUUAUCUUGAUAUCCCUUGGGUUGUCUCAUAUACACCACCUCCUGUAAAUUUCCAUUCAGGAAUGCAUUCCUAACAUCCAGUUGUCUUAAUCUCCACCCAUUACUAACUACCAAAGAUAACACAGUCCUUAUUGUUGAGAUUUUCACCACAGGACUAUAAGUAUACUGAAAAUCUACUCCUUCCUCCUGACUAUACCCUUGUGCCACCAGCCUUGCUUUGCACCUCUCUAUACUCCCAUCUGAUUUUCUUUUCAACUUAUACACCCACUUGCAUCCCACUAUGUUCAUAUGAUCUCCUUUUUCCACUAAAUUCCAAGUCUGAUUUUCUUUAAUUGCCUGCAUAUAUCUCCUCAUCCAUUGCCUUUCUCCAACAUUCAUUCUUAUUUGCCUGUGAAAAACAUGUAGGCUCAAAAAUUUCAUUAGUUAUAGUAGUAUUACACUCAUAAUUUUUAUAUUUAGUAUCAACACAUUUAAUUUUGAUUCUUUCUGAUUUCUUUGCUCUGAGAGGAGUCCUGCCCUGAUUUUGAGAAUCAGAUGCAGUAGAAUGGUUCAUAUCUGGAUUCAAUUCCAGAUUAACCAUGUUCUCAGUGCUUUCAAUUGAAUUUGAUUUUGAAGAGUUGGUGUCUAUUGGUCCAGACUUACUAUUAGAGUAGCUUGUUGAUGUAAUAGAUUGACCUUUGAGUGUAUUAGAGUUGAUUUGAGACAUAUUAGAAUUGUUUGGACAGACAUUGGGAGUUAUUUGAAUUGGACUUGAAUUAUUAGAGACCAUUGUUGGAUUUACUUGACUCUCUUAGCCUAACCUAUCUACAGACCUUGAGCUAGAAGAAUGAUUAGAUGAAUCCCCUUCUAGGCUUUCUAACCUAGGUAAAUACUCUCUAUUAUUCACACCUUCUUGUUGUAUAGGUUGCAUGACCAAAACUCAGAUUCAACUAAAAAAAAUUUCGUUUCUGAUUCAGUAUUAUUCCUUAAUUUUUCCUGAAUGAAUGGAAACUCAUCUUCAUUGAACAAUACAUCCCUAUACACCCUGAUAUCUUUAUUUUCUAAGUCCAUACAUUUAUAACCCUUUUGUUGAGCUGGAUACCCCAUAAAAAUGCACUUUUUGGCCUUUGGCAUCAGCUUGUUUCUAUUUUCUUUGGGUAAUAAAGGAUAACAACUACAUCCUAGAGUUUUUAUCAUCUUGUAGUCUGGUUGCCUUUUCAUCAACAGUUUAAAUGGACUUUUGUUGUCUAAAUUUGGUGUUUUCAGUCUAUUUAUCAAAUACACGGCAGUAGAAAACACUUCUGUCCAGUAUUCAUGUGGAAUUCCAGAUUUUAUCAGCAAACAUCUUCCUACUUCUAAAAUCUGUCUGUGCCUUCUUUCAACUAACCUAUGUUGUUUAGGUGUGUGUAAGCAAGUCAUCCUUUGUUUAAUCCCAACUUCCAUUAGAUAAUUUCUUAAUUUCAUAUUCAUAAAUUCACCUCCUAAAUCAGUCUGGAUUUCUUUGAUUUCCAGUUCCAAAUAUUUUUCUAUUUGCUUAUGAAAAUUAACAAAUAUCUGGAAAAAAUCUGAUUUUUUUAUUAUUGAAAAAAGCCAAUUAAACCUAGAAUAUUCAUCUAUGAUUGAUACAUAGUAUCUGAAACCUUUUACAGAAAUUUUUGGGGAUGGCCCCCAUAAGUCUAUGUGCAGAAUUUGUAAAGGCUUAGUUGCUAGGUUUUCUCUUCUACUAUAUGGUUGCUGAUGGCUUUUCCCAAGUGGACAGACUGAACAAAAAUAUUGAUUCUUUCCUGGUUCUGCUUUCACCAAUAGUACACCAUAGGUUUGAUUUAUAACAGCUUCAGAAGGAUGACCCAGUCUCUCAUGCCAUUUUUCCUUUGUUACUCUUACUCCGUAAUAAGCUUGGACAUCAGGAUAGAGGUGGUAUAACCCUUCUUUACUACUGCCAGUAAAUAACAUUUUCAUAGUGUUCAGGUCCUUUACACGAAAAACGAUUAUCAUUAAACACAAUUAUGCAAUUCAAAUCUCUGGUUAACUUUUGUAUAGAAAUUAAAUUUUUCUUAAGCCCGGGUACACAUAACACUCCUUCUAAUAUAUGAUUUUUCCCAUUUGCUUUUAAGGUUACCCUAUCCCUAUAUGUUACUGGUAAAUGUUCUCCACUACCAACUAUUACAUACUGAGUACCUGUUGAGGGUUCAUAAGUUGUAAAAGCUCCUAAGUCUGGAGUCAUGUGACUUGAUCAGGCUCCUGAGUCCAGACACCAUGUUGAUUCAGUCUGACUAGCUGCUGCAGACAUUGCUAGAUCUGGAAUAUACACUUCAGGUUGUACUUCUGAUGUAUUACAACCUGUCUGAACAUUUACUGUUGUUGCCUGAAAAGCUGCAUAAUUAGAUAUUUCAGGACACUGUUUUACCAAGUGACCUUUUUUUAUCACAUAUUUGACAAUUCUGAGCUUGGUCUAGAGAAGGUGGGGUUGAAAUCAACAGUGGUAGUUGUGGUUUAUUUUGAUUAUGUGUUAUAUUUCUUGCUUGAGGUGGUAGUUGAGGUGUAUAGUUAUUUGUAGAUGGAUUUGGACCAUAGUGUGAUUGGUUUACUGAUGGGUAUUGAUUUUGGUAAUAGUGUGGUCUAAGUGGAUAUGAUUGAUUUGUAGGGUUUGUACCUCUAAAUUGGUUUGGAUAAUGUGGUUGAUUUGAGUAAUGGGGUUGAUUUGGAUAAUAUGAUUGAUUUGGAUAAUAUGGUUGGUUUUGAUACUGUGGGUUAUGAAAAUAAGAUUGAUUGGGAUACUGAUGGUAAUUGGGAUAAUGUUGAUUGGGAUAGAAAUUCUUAUUAUUAUAGUUGUUCCUUGGGUAAUUGUUGUGGUAGUUAGGUCUUCCCCUCGGGUAAUUACCUCUAUAUUGUGUGGUAUGAGCAGUCAUUGCAGUUACUGUUGAGUUUGCACCAUCAAUUCUUUUUAUUAGCAUCUCCUCACUUAGUAGCAAAUCUGUUAGCUCAUCAAAUGUAAUUGUUCAUUUACUUCUUACUGUGGUUAACAAAUAGUGAUACUCUCCACUUAACCCUCCAAGAAUAUAAUCUUUUACACAGUUUUCAGUUACUGUUUCUCCAGUAGAUACCAAAGACUCAACCAGUCCCUUUAUUCUUACAAUGUAAUCUUGCAUUGUUUCAGUUCCAAGCUUUUUCACAGUUCUUAAUUGCUCCUUGAUCACAUAGAUUUGAGUAGUGCUCACGGGUGACAAUAUCUUUUCUAAAUUUGACCAGCCUUCAUAAGAGGAUUUGCAUUUUAAUAGCAUUAGUUGAUAUUGUGUGGCAACCGUGGCUUUUAUCCAUCCCAAAAUUAGAUCAUCAAUAUUUGACCUCCACACUUCGUAUUCUGGAUUAUCUUCAUUUUUUAUCCUUGGUGCAGGACAAGGUUCAUAGCCACUGACAUAUUUCAUAAAUUUAUGCGCCCUUAGCGCGCAUUCAAACUGAUUCCUCCACUGCAAAUAAUUGCUUCUUUCUAACUUGUCUGGUACCAUAGUGAAAAUAUUAUAUGAUACAUGACCAUAAUGAAUCGGUGCAGUAGUGUUGUUACCAGCAUCCAUCUCAACCUUUAAAAUUAUUCAAUAUAAACUUAGAUUUUAAUAAUACAGUUUGCUUAGAAAUAUAUUUUCCAAUUCUAUGUUUCCCAUAACACCCAAGAUCUUAGGCAUAAUCUGAUACCAUAUAAAAUUCAGUAUUGUAUGAUCAUGCAGUCUAAGAAUAAAGUGAGAUUGAACUAUAUAUUCAAGAACCAAACAGACAUAACCCAAAUCACUUAAAUUUAUAGAAUUGAGUUAAAAUGAAACCGAUACAAGAACUGAAACAGAAUUGAGUUUUGUCUCAAAAACAACUAAACGAUAUUGAUUUGCUUGCAGAAAUUAAUAAAUAAACAAAAUGAUUUAAUUUACUAUUGUGUGAAAAAAUUACACAUUUCAAUUGACUAACAUCAAAUCUAAUCUAUGCAGGACAGAAACAUGAUGAAAUGGAAUACGAUGACAGCAGCUUGAAGAUCAAGAAAAUUGCAAACGAUAUACCUGAGACGAUUGAAAGAAUAGAAAAAAAGUUACACAAUUGAAUUUGGAGAAAUGAGCAAGCACCGAGAAGGAAAUUAUCAAGAAGAAAUUCUUACUGGAAAAUUAGAAGAGAAGAAGAAAAAGUGAGUUCUGCCUCAACCGUUUCCCUUUCUUUUAUAGCUUUCUAUUUCCAGAUUGGGUAAUUUACAUGGGUAAUCAGGUACCGGAUCCUUCUUACAUGGGUAAUUUGGUGUCUUGAUAUUUAGGUAAUUUACAGUUGUACCAUAUUACGAUGCACUCGAUCAAUUUGGCGCACCUGAAGUUUUAAUACAUUUGAUAUUAACCAUCAUAUAUGAGUUUUAAUAAAGUUAUUUAGUUAUAUAUACAUUAAUUAGUUUCUGAUCGAUACGUCGAGAUCCAAUACGUCAUGGUGCGUCGAACCGAUCCAGUACGUCCGUUGUUGUUUAAUCUAACAUUUUUUUUAUUGUCACUUACCCUUCCUGAUUCCUAUGUAUCGAACUACGUAUUGUAUAUUCGGUCAGAUUUAUUUAGUCAGUGGUUAAUAAAACAGAACGAAUGUGUCAG